GACGAACGCUGGCGGCGCGCUUAACACAUGCAAGUCGAACGGAAAGGCCUGCUUUCCCUUGUGGAUUGCGGGUACUCGAGUGGCGAACGGGUGAGUAACACGUGAGUGAUCUGCCCCCAACUUGGGUAUAAGCCUGGGAAACUGGGUCUAAUUCCCGAUAGGACUGCAGGGUGGUGCCUGUGGUGGAAAACGAUUUUCUAGUGGUUGGGGAUGAGCUCGCGGCCUAUCAGCUUGUUGGUGGGGUAAUGGCCUACCAAGGCGGGGACGGGUAGCCGGCCUGGGAGCGUCGACGGCGACAUUGGGACUGAGACACGGCCCAGACUCCUACGGGAGGCAGCAGUGGGGAAUAUUGCACAAUGGGCGGAAGCCUGAUGCAGCGACGCCGCGUGGGGGAUGACGGCCUUCGGGUUGUAAACUCCUUUCGACCGCGAGGAAGCCACCUGGUUGGAAGGGUGGUGACGGUAGUGGUAGAAGAAGCACCGGCUAACUACGUG
rnacentral:rRNA from 1 species